UACAGAGGGUGCGAGCGUUGUUCGGGAUCAUUGGGCGUAAAGCGCUUGUAGGCGGCUUGUUAAGUCGCGUGUGAAAUCCCUUGGCUCAACCAAGGAAGUGCGCGCGAAACUGGCGAGCUCGAGUGCCGGAGAGGGUCGCGGAAUUCCCGGUGUAGAGGUGAAAUUCGUAGAUAUCGGGAGGAACACCAGUGGCGAAGGCGGCGACCUGGACGGACACUGACGCUGAGACGCGAAAGCGUGGGGAGCAAACAGG
rnacentral:rRNA from 1 species